rnacentral:lncRNA from 1 species
UUCACUUUACUUUUUAUUUUGUCUUUAUCGUUAAAACUCAAAAUUUUCAAGUUAUUUUCAUUAGUUUUUAUUUUUUUAAUCAUUUCUUCAGCACCCCAAAUUGAGCAUGGGCCUGGACCCAAUAAUUUAAACUCGGGCCAACCCAUCGACAAGCACGAUACCGUUGUGCAAUAUGCAACAUUUUGGAUCUAUCACAUAUCACCAUAUAUAGAUGAUGAGUCAUCAAAACGUUUUUUAGGGCAAGUACGAUAUUCAUUAGUGCGAAAACUAUGUGUAUAUAUCGGAGGAUAGGGUGCAUAUCAAUGGGCCUCAAUAAAAAUUUUGCUAGGAAUUUCAACCCGAUCGAAGGAAAAAAGAACAUCCCGCAUCAAUCAAAUUACAUACUUGUACUAUCCUAAAAAGAACAAGAUCUGAAAUUACAUAUGGAGCUUCCUCAAACCAAAUAUGUUGUGAUGUUCUAAUGUCAAUCCCAAUUUUGCUAAUCUAUGAGCCACUUUGUUUGCCUCCCUGCAAGAAUAAGAAAGUUUCGUGUGGGGAUAGAACACAUAAAAAAGCGGGCAUCCUUCACAACGUGCCCCACUGAAGAAGGAUCAUCAGCCUCCUCCUCGCCCCCGUUCUUGCCUGCAAGCUAAGCAAACAAUUAAUGCAUCAACAACCAGUUUCCAGAAUAGAUGGCCAUAAGGCUCUAUUCUAACAGCCUCACAUAUGUCCUUAAAAGUGCCACUUUUCCCAGUUUAUAUUAAAUGAACCUCCUACUGAUUAGAAUUUGUACAUGAAGCACUACCAUGGUUCAGAGUUGUUACCAAGAAUCUAUCAUAUGAUGCCUGCUCCAACCAUCCUCCACCAGAAGUAAGCUACACCGUAUCAUCAAUUUCUCCACGGUAUCUUCCUCUAGAACAGUUAAUGAAUCAGAUGGUUGCCUCCGUGAUGGAUGACCCUGCAGUAUCCAGAUAAUAAAAAUCAAUUAUUAUUCAACCACAAAUAAAGUAACAGUUUGUUAGUCACUCAAAAUAGAAAUAGCACGUUAGAUCUCCCCAAUUUACAGAAAGAGUGAACUUGAACUUGCCACUACAGCACUUCAAAGUUAUAAGUAUCACAAGCAGACGAUAGUGCCUUACUAGCUCCGCUGUCAUACAUUUUGCCGGUUGACUAUUCCAACCAUCCAAUAUUCUGGCCUUCCAAUCUAUUGAUGAUCUAGUCUAUGUUGAGCAGCCUUAACAGAUGCAAGCUGAAAGCCACUGGAAAAACAGAAAGGAUCCUCACAUAUAUGCAUUUAACUUAGAUUAGUUUUAAGUAGAAACUACAUUCAUUUCGGACAAAGUACCUGUCUUCGUGCAGCCCUCGUUCCCCGCUUGAUCAUGCUGAAAUGGCCAGGAACGUGUCCCUCAAACUUCUUAAAAUCUGUAGAUACAGUAAACAUGAGACCAUACAUUGCUAAGAUUAAAGGCUUGGACUGUUCGCAGACCUUAUCCAAAGUUAACUAAAUAUGUAUGUAUAUACAAUUACAUAAAUACACGCACAGACACAAAUUACACAAGGAUGCAUACAUAUAAUUGAUAAUCUAUACUUCUACUCACUCUGAAUGCAAUAUCCAUACUUACAACCUCUCAAUCGAAAUCUAACGGUUGACGUCUACAUCCUGGUAGAGAGAACGUUUCUUUUUUGGAAAAUUAUCAGUUAUUGGAUGAAGGCUGGAGAACAAAAACAUUUGUACUCAUUGGUGAAAUGUAAAUCAUGAUUAGGAGGACCAGUAGAUAUGUACCAACUUAUAGGCAGGUUCAUAAUAUUCUGACUAUAUAUAUAAGUUACGUUCAAAAUACGAGGACCUGUAAUUAAUCUUGAAUGUAACAUAGAUUGCAUUGCCAUGACCAAAGAUAAAUUAGACACAGUGCUGAAUUACAAGAAUAAUCAAUUAACAAUGUACUACGGGCAAUUUGAUUGUCGUAAAAGGAGUGUUUGGAUGAGGGAUUUGAAAGUGCCGAGGGCUUUAGGCUAAAUUAGUUAAAAUUCACUACAAAAUAUUAGAUGGAAGGAUAUGAAAGACUAGAUGCAAUGCAUCGAGAAGGAUUUGUAAAUGACAGCUUGAAAGGAGACAUUUAAAAAUACUUUGUUUGUGUGCAAUGAUCAUGUAGUGCGUUUCAAUAUCUAUGUCUACUGCUUUGUAGAUGAAGUCCCUCAUCCAAACAGAGUGAGAGAACUAGGAGUUUUAGCAUACACAAGUCACAAGUCAUGUGUUAUCUGUCGACGUGAUAACAAAAGUCCCUCACCUCCACUAUAAGGGCUUGUGACAUCAUUAUGUGUGCAUUAUCAGAUUCAUUGCCCUUCUGUCUAUGAUAACCUCUGGGAAGACUAUGAAGACCCUGACAACAGAAUAUCUACGCAUCAAAAUCCAAAAAGCCCCAUAAGCGAAGCAUUUUCAAAAUUUCAGACUAUAUGAGCACAAGCAUUGCAGGUGAUCCGGAACGAUGUGUCAAAACCUGUUAGCGACGUCUACAUUAAACUCCUGAAAACAAUGGUCGUAUUGUAGGGUCCUCACGGAACAACCUUGAUAUAACAAACAAGUAAGGCAGACUGUGCUGCCCUUCAAUAGAAUACCAAGUAUCCUUACAUACAUGCAUCUAUCUUAGAUUAGUUUAUGUAGAAAGUAUAUUCAUUUUGGACAAAGUACCUGUCGAUUGAUCUAUCAAUAAAGUUAGCAGCAUGUGCUGCCCUUCAAGAACAAAUUCCCUGGUUGAUCCUGCUGAAAUGGCCAGAAUAAGUUACUUUCAAAAUACGAGGACCUGUAAAUAAUCUUGAAUGUAACAUAGAUCUAUCAAUUAAAAGGCAAAAGAAUACCUAAGUUACAAGACUAAUCAAUUAACAAUAUACCACAGGCAAUAUGAUUCUCUUAAACAUAAAGUUGGGAUGAGAGAUUUGAAAGUGUCAAGGGCUUAGGGCUAAAUUAGUUGGAGGGAUAUGAAAGACUAGAUGCAAUGCAUUAAGAGGGAUUUGUAAUGACUGCUUGAAAGGAGACAUUUAUAAAUACUUUGUUUAUGUGUGUAAUGAUCAUGUAGUGCAUUUUAAAUGUCUAUAUCCUUCAUCCAAACAUAGGGUGAGAGAACUAGGAGUUUUAGCAUACACAACUCACUGACAUAGGACAAUACAAAUUAAGGCAAAACAAACAGAUGUCAAAAUCCAAAAUGCCUUACUUCUUUGAGUCAUUAUGUGUGCAUUAUGCCCUUAUCAGACCCCUUGCUUUUUUGUUUAUGAAAACUCUGGGAAGACUAUGAAGAUCGUGAGGAAAGAAUAUCUCCGCAUAGAAAUCCAAAAAGCCCCAUAAGCGAAGCAUUUCCAAAUUUCUGAGUAUACGAGCACAAGCAUUGCAGGUGAUCCUGAACCAUGUGGCAAAACCUGUUUGCGAUGUCUACAUUAAACUCCUCAAAACAACGCCCGUAUUGUAGGAUUCUCACAGAACAACUUGAAAUAACCAAGAAGUAUGGCAGACUUCCAUAACGAGUGGAGAUAUAGAGCUCAUGGUUCAGAUUGAUGCCUUGCAUUGGUCCUUCGGAAACCCUGAAAUAAAAUUAGAAAAGGAAUCUUGUGACUUAUUGCUCUUUUCUUAAUUUAUUCAUAUUUGUCCAGCCAAUCAAAGUGGUAACAAGUUAGAAACCUUGAUUCUAAGUUCCAAAUGUAGAAUAUCAAAGUACCUUGAUUCUAAGCGAAGCAUUUUCAAAAUUUCAGACUAUAUGAGCACAAGCAUUGCAGGUAAUCCGGAACGAUGUGUCAAAACCUGUUAGCGACGUCUACAUUAAACUCCUGAAAACAAUGGUCGUAUUGUAGGGUCCUCACAGAACAACCUUGAUAUAACAAACAAGUAAGACAGAUUGUGCUGCCCUUCAAUAGAAUACCAAGUAUCCUUACAUAUAUGCACAUAUCUUAGAUUAGUUAAUGUAUAAAGUAUAUUCCUUUCGGACAAAGUACCUGUCGAUUGAUCUAUUAAUAAAGUUAGCAGCAUGUGCUGCCCUUCAAGAACAAAUUCCCUGGUUGAUCCUGCUGAAAUGGCCAGAAUAAGUUACUUUCAAAAUACGAGGACCUGUAAAUAAUCUUGAAUGUAACAUAGAUCUAUCAAUUAAAAGGCAAAAGAAUACCAAAGUUACAAGACUAAUCAAUUAACAAUAUACCACAGGCAAUAUGAUUCUCUUAAACGUAAAGUUGGGAUGAGAGAUUUGAAAGUGUCAAGGGCUUAAGGCUAAAUUAGUUGGAGGGAUAUGAAAUAAAAUUAGAAAAGGAAUCUUGUGACUUAUUGCUCUUUUCUUAAUUUAUUCAUAUUUGUCCAGCCAAUCAAAGUGGUAACAAGUUAGAAACCUUGAUUCUAAGUUCCAAAUGUAGAAUAUCAAAGCUCAUAAGAAUUAGAAACAAAGAGAAGAUUUCAGAGAGUUUUACCUUCACUGGUUUUCUCCAACUCCCAUUAUUUCCAUGUCAAAUGGGGAAAAAUCGUGUUUAAUCCUUUCUUCUCAUCGCUAUUGAAUGUCGAUGUCAACUCGAGCUCAACCCUUUUCCAUACCUCAUCUAGAAAAGAUGGUCCUGAUUCAAAGAUGAAGAAAUAAUGAUUUAUAAAGCGAUCUUAAUUACUUGUGCAAGUUUGACAAUCUGGACCUUUUCCUUUUGUUAUGAUUCACGCAUAUAAUCCAUCGACAAUGAUCAUGAAACAAGAAAAGAAAAGGAAACGUAAGUUACACUCCAGUAUUCAACAACUUACGAUGGAAUCUGUAAGAGUGCAGCAGCCAGCCAAAUUCACACGUUGUUUUUGUGCAGAAACAUAUCGGCACCUAUGUAAAGAUGACAGAUGCAAUGAAAGAUGAGUAAGCAUUCCACCGUAUUCAAACCACAACAGUAAGAGGAAAAAAAAAAACAUCAUCAAGGAGUUACCUCGUCCUGUGCAGGAGAAUCAUAUUGGUGUCAUAGCUAGCCAGAGCACCCAAUAACUUACUUGGAGUUACCUCGUCCUGUGCAGGAGUUACCUUGAUUGAUUCUCGUUUGAUUGCUUCAGUCCAAAUGCUAGAAAUAAAAUAAGGUGUUUAUGAGGAUUAAAGGGUGUGCAAAUAUCACUUCCCCAGAUUUAUGAUCCAACUAUUCGGAAGCUGGCCAGCUUCUCAAGAACGCUUUCUCCUCCGAAUCAGCAGUGCCAUACAGAGAGAAAUCCAAAGAAGGAAACGACUCCCAUAUAGGAGUUUUAUGCAGAAACUGGGGCAGCCUAAUACUGGCAACGUGGAUGCAAACCUACUUUCUCUUCUGAUGUCUAGAAACUUCAAUUAACCUCAGGACAUGAGCUCCAUGCUUUCUUCAAUGCUUUCACAAGGUCUAGAAGAUCUGCGUGUUUUCUUCGUUGCUUUCAGGAGUCUGGGGAACCUGCAAGUUCUCUUCAUUGUUUGCAAACCAAGUUCUGGAGGGCCUCUGGCUUCUCGCCCGUUCUUGCCUGCGAGCUAAGCAAAAAAAUUAAUGCAUCAACAACCAGUUUCCAGAAUGCAUGACCAUAAGGCUGUAUUCUAACAGCCUCACUUAUUUCCUGGCUAUAACAUAAGUCAAUAAUUUCCUUUCCGGAAUGAAAUAAACUUAAAAGUGCCACUUUUCCCAGUUUAUAUUUAAUGAACCUCCUCCUACUGUUUAGAAUUUGUACAUGAAGCGCUAUCAUGGUUCAGAGUUGUUACCAAGAAAAUUUCUAUCAUAUGACGCCUGCUCCAACCAUCCUCGACCAGAAGUGAGCUACACCGUAUCAUCAAUUUCUCCACAGCAUCUUCCUCUAGAACAGUUAAUGAAUCAAAUGGUUGCCUCCAUGAUGGACGACCCUGCAUCAUCCAGAUAAUAAUAAUACAUUAUUAUUCAACCACAAAUAAAGUAACAAUUUGUUAGUCACUCAAAAUAGAAAUAGCACGUUAGAUCUCCCCAAUUUACAGAAGGAGUGAACUUGAACUUGCCACUACAGCAUUUGAAAGUUAUAAGUAUCACAAGCAGACAAUAGCGCCUUACUAGCUCCGCUGUCGUACAUUUUGCCGGUUGACUAUUCCAACCAUCCAAUAUUCCGGCCUUCCAAUCUAUUGAUGAUCUAGUCUAUGUUGAGCAGCCUUAACAGAUGCAAGCUG